rnacentral:rRNA from 1 species
CCCACUAUGCUCAAUCGUAAAAUAUCUACUCACACCCACAUCGCCAGGGAACUACGAGCCCCUUAAAACCCAAAGGACUUGACGGUGUCCCACCCACCUAGAGGAGCCUGUUCUAUAAUCGACACUCCACGAUAUACCUUACCACUCCUAGCACACUCAGUUUGUAUACCUCCGUCGCAAGCUUACCAUGUGAAUGUCACUAGUGAGCUAAAAGAUCUUCCACCCAUACGUCAGGUCAAGGUGCAACUAACGGAGUGGGUAGCAAUGGGCUACAAUUUCUAUAAUAGAACAUACGAAAACUAUAUGAAACACACCACGAAGGCGGAUUUAGAAGUAAAAAGAAAUCAAAAAAUUCUUUUUAACUAGGCCCUGGGACGCGUACACACUGCCCGUCACCCUCCUCAACCCCACAGAAGAGGCAAGUCGUAACAUGGUAAGUGUACUGGAAAGUGCACUUGGACAUCAAAAUGUAACUUAACAAAAGCAUUUCGCUUACACCGAAAUAGAUGUUAAUUAACUUUAACCAUUUUGAGCCUAAACCUAAGCCCCCCCCCGCUUCUGAUAAAUAAUAAAACA